UCUAAGGAUCCCCGGUGCUCUUCGGUGAGUGUCGAGGUGGGCCGACAAUUUUACUUUGAACAAAUUAGAGUGCUCAAAGCGGGCUAAAAAUGCUGCUUGAAUAUUUCUGUGCAUGGAAUAAUAGAAUAUGAUCUCGGUUCUAUUUUGUUGGUUUUCAGAACUCCGAGGUAAUGAUUAAUAGGGAUAACUGGGGGCAUUCGUAUUGCGACGUUAGAGGUGAAAUUCUUGGAUCGUCGCAAGACGAACAUCAGCGAAAGCAUUUGCCAAAGGUGUUUUCAUCAAUCAAGAACGAAAGUUAGAGGUUCGAAGGCGAUUAGAUACCGCCCUAGUUCUAACCGUAAAUAUGUCAUCUAGCGAUCCGCCGACGUUACUACAAUGGCUCGGCGGGCAGCUUCCGGGAAACCAAAGAUUUUGGACUCCGGGGGGAGUAUGGUUGCAAAGCUGAAACUUAAAGGAAUUGACGGAAGGGCACCACCAGGAGUGGAGCCUGCGGCUUAAUUUGACUCAACACGGGAAAUCUCACCAGGCCCGGACACCGGAAGGAUUGACAGAUUAACAGCUCUUUCUUGAUUCGGUGGGUGGUGGUGCAUGGCCGUUCUUAGUUGGUGGAGCGAUUUGUCUGGUUAAUUCCGGUAACGAACGAGACUCUAGCCUGCUAAAUAGGCGUCGUUAUUUAGGUGUGCGCGGCCUCGUGUCGCGCAACUCACUGACGACGUAUUAAAAUUCUUCUUAGAGGGACCGGCGUCUUCGAGCCGCACGAGAUUGAGCAAUAACAGGUCUGUGAUGCCCUUAGAUGUCCUGGGCCGCACGCGCGCUACACUGAAGGAAUCAGCAUGUUCUCCCUGGCCUAGAGGCCCGGGCAACCCGCUGAAACUCCUUCGUGCUGGGGAUUGGGGUUUGCAAUUAUCCCCCAUAAACGAGGAAUUCCUAGUAAGCGCGAGUCAUAAGCUCGCGUUGAUUACGUCCCUGACCUUUGUACACACCGUCCGUCGCUACUACCGAUUGAAUGAUAUAGUGAGGUCUUCGGACCGACACGCGGUGGCUUCACGGCCGUCGGCGUUGUUGGGAAGUUGACCAAACUUGAUCAUUUAGAGGAAGUAAAAGUCGUAACAAGGUUUCCGUAGGGGAACCUGCGGAAG
rnacentral:rRNA from 1 species